rnacentral:rRNA from 1 species
CUCUGAAGAAUAUCAUAUUUGUCUCAGUGUUUAGACUGCUCCUAUUUGAUUGUAUCUGAUCGCAGAAGCUAAACAGGGCUGGGGCUGGUUAGUACUUGAACGGGAGACUGCCUGGAAAUUCCAGAUGCUGCAGGGC